CUUAGCUUUUGAGGAGAUCAUGAACCUAGGACCCAUCUAUCUGGCCUGAGGGUGUGGGCAGCAAGCCCCAGGGAUGCCCCUCUCUGCCCCCCCAACACUGCAGUGAUAGGUGCAUGUCGCUGUGCCUGAGUCUUUAUGUGGUGGUUAGGGGUCAAACUCAGGCCUUCAUGCUUACAAAACAAGUACUUUACUCACCAAACCAUUUCCAUGACCCCAAGAUCUUAUUCUGAUGUCACAGAGGAGGAAAGGAACAUGUUCUCAGGGGCCAUUGGCAGGUUCCACCCUUGGCAGUUUUCUGAGGCUGAGCUUCCCUCGCAUGCAUCAUACAGUCUCAAUCCCACCUUGCUGCCUCCAUUUUACAGAUGAUGUAUCCAAGGCAGGAGCAGCUCUCUGGGCCUCACCUGGGCUGGAAAUGGCUCAGGACAUAAACCAGAACGGCUCCACCCCACCGCCGCGGCAGCAGCCCCGACCUGACACGUGGGUGCUCUGUAGAAGACCCGCCCUUGCUCUGUCCUCCUGUCUGUCACCAAGACCCCAGCUUGCUUUGGGAAGGGAGUUUGAUUCAUCAGAGUCCACACCGCGGUGA
rnacentral:lncRNA from 1 species